GUAGUCCACCCGGAAUAACCAUGUCCACGGCGCCCGCCAUUCUGUAGCCUAUGCUCGGAGGGCACAUGAGCAAGAGCUUGACCAUCUGUACCGUUGGUUGACUUGCUCUAUUAAGGGCUAUGAUUUCAGGUCGUCCUGCGUGUUUAGAGGAGGCGAGUGGAAUCUUGAGUCUCGGCUGGAGAAGGCAGAGCACGGGCAUGCAGACCUCAAAGCCUCAAACCUGCGUGUGAGAGGAGAAGUUGGCGAGCUCCAGCGUAUGGUCCACGGUUGGUAUUCUAGGAAGAUACAAGACAACAGCUUCUGCGAACCAGUAAGAGUGGCCUCAUUAGACAUUGGAUUUGCCAGUGACUUGAUCAUGGACUUCCCAGUCUCCAGGACUGUGAGUUAUAAAGGUCUUUCACCAUAUUUGCUGUCCUUGGGCAAGAUCAGAGUCAUCUUUGGAAGGAAAAGCAUCUCUGGAUUUUGUUAAAUACCAUCUUAGGAAAGUACUCUCUGCUCUUCAAAGUCAGCGACGACAUGAGUCACUGUUACAGAACCCACAGAAUGUGUCCCUUAAAAUACUGAGAAUGAACACUAUUUUACUGCCUGCAUAAUUAGCACUAGACAGGUGAAUUUAUUACUACUUCAUUAAAUAGAUGAGUUUAUUAACUCAGUGAAGACUUGUGGGAACCUUACUAAAAGAGAUGCAAUUCCCCAGCCUCAAGAUGCUCACAGUCUAGUGAUGAGGAAGCUGGCAAUUCCACUAUACAUGGCUAAAUGCCAGAGUAGUGCACAGCAUCCUUUAGCGGCAUGAGGAAUGGGCUCAUAAGCCCACAGUGGAAUGCAGGGGUUCUACACAAACGUAGCUUAAUCUGAGCCCUGGAGGGUGACUGAGCUCUAUUAGCCAGAGAAUCCAAAUCACUAUAAAACUCCCAGAGAACAAAUGUCAUGAUGUGAAGACAAAUAACAGGCAGAAAGAGAUGGGCAGGAAGGCAGAAUUCAAACCAUGAUGACGUUCAAGUCACAAAAUUAUCUGCAAGUCAGCAGGAGAACACUGAAGGACUUCUGGAAAGGAGAGUAAAAAGAUUCCUUUCAUGUUAGAAACAGAUUACCCUCUCAAACGGGAGGAGGCUUGAGGGGGAGGAGGCUAGGGCCAGAGAGACUAUUAGGAGAGCCACACUAAGAAACUCUUUCUUCUUUAUUCAAAUGUCACCACCUCAGAGUCUCUCUCUAGCCAUCCUGUAGAUAAUUUCGGUCUCCUAACUGCACCCCAACACUUCCUAUCCCUCAUCUCUGCUUACUUCUUUUCUCUAAGCCCUUAUUCCUCUCUAACAUCCUUCUAGGUAUUUACUUACUUAUAUUCAUUACACUUGUCUAAUGUGGAGUUUCGUUACCUGCUCCAUCCCCAACACCUACUAAGUUGCUACAAGCAUUUGGAAGGAACCCAAAGAUUUGCAGAAUGACUACUUUAAUGACUCAGUGAAUAGUUGAUAGAUACACCAUGUGGAUCAGGGCCUCAUUAUUUAUCACCUGAACCAUUCAUUCAACAUAUGAUUGUUGAAGGGUCUACUCUGUGCCAGCCAAGGGUCCUAGAUGUGAAAUAUACAGCAGUGAACAAAGACCUUGAUCUCACAAAGAUGAUAUUAUAAUGGGCUACGAGGGCAUAGCAAACCCCCAAUAUAUAGCGAGAGACACUUUUAAGAACAAUAGGGCAGGGUAAAGAAAUAAAGAGAUGAAAGGAGGGGCUGUCACAGAAUAAGUUUUUGUCAUGAAAGAUUUCUCUUAUAUUUGAACAGAGACCUCAAAUAUAGGAAGAGAAAGCCAUGUAGAGAUCUGAUAUCUGAAGGCAUGUAAUUCAGCCCUGAAGAACAUAGAAAAUUUUUUUUUGUUAAAAAGCCAUAGGUCUGGUAUUUAGCAAAGACAUGGAAUCAACCUAAAUGCCCGUCGAUAGCAGUCUGGAUAAAGAAAAUGUGGUGCAUAUACACCAUGGAAUACUAGGCGGCCAUAAAAAAGAUGUCCUGGCUGGGCGCGGUGGCUCAUGCCUGUAAUCCCAGCACUUUGGGAGAGUGAGGCAGGCGGAUCACCUGAGGUUAGGAGUUCGAGAACAGCCUAACCAACAUGGAGAAACCCUGUCUCUACUUAAAAAAAAAAAUACAAAAUUAGCCAGGCAUGAUGGCGAAUGCCUGUAAUCCCAGCUACUCAGGAGGAUGAGGCAGGAGAAUUGCUUGAACCUGGGAGGUCAAGCUUGUGGUGAGCCAAGAUCGCACCAUUGCACUCCAGUCUGGGCAACAAGAGCGAAACUCUGUCUCAAAAAAAAAAAAAAAAAAAAGAUGUCCUUUGCAGGAAGAUGGAUGGAGCUGGAGGACAUUAUUCUUAGUAAACUAAUACAGGAACAGAAAACCAAAUACCGCAUGUUCUAACUCAUCAGUGGGAGCUAAAUGAUGAGAAUACAUGGACACACAGAGGGGAACAACAGACACUGGGGUCUCCAUCAGAGGGUGGAGGGUGGGAGGAGGGAGAGGACCAGAAAAAAUAACUCAUGGGUACUAGGCUUAAUACCUGGGUGACAAAAUAAUCUGUACAACAAACCCCCAUGACACAAGUUUACCUGUAUAACAAACCUGCACGUGUACUUCUGCAGUUACAGAAGAUCAAGGAUGGGACUAAGAACCUAUUUCUACCAAUAUCCCAGGUGAUGCUAAUGCUGCUGGUCCCUAAAUUACAAUUUGAUAGCAUCAGUUAAAACAGCUCUCUAGAUAUUUUCAGACAGACUAACACUUGAGGUUUUCACCUCCAAUUUUUCUACUAACCCCAAUAUACUAUCCUAUUGCCUAAGGGCAAAAAGAACUAAAGAAGGUAAAAACAAACUGCAAGCUUCUCUUUCUCUCUGAUACUAACAAACAGGAAUGAAGGUUUGUUAGGAUCAGGAGUGCCAAGAUCAACUCUAUGCUCCUAACAUUAACCACGAAAAAACCCAGGCCACUCAUAAAAUACUCCCUAUAAUGACAGCAACUGACAUUUAGAGCAACUGACUGGCUGCCUACCAAGGCACUGUUUACAUAAAUUCUUCACAUGUAGUAUCUCAUUUGAUUUUCAUAACGAUGAUAGAGAUUGAGAAAAUAAUUAUGCCCAUUUUACAGACAAGGAAAUAGAGGCACACAGAAGUAACUUGUUCAUGUUUAACAAGUGGUCAACAGAAAAGUCAGGAUUUUCACCCAGUGCCUUAUCUACUAGAACACUGGCUGCGCCAGGCAAUGAACCCAGGCAAUCUGACACCUGUGCCCAUGUUCUUAACCGCUCGACAGUGGUUCUCAAACCCUGGUAUGCAUCCAUAUCAAAAGGCCUGAGGUUCCAUGUGCUGCCUUGAUACCUUUGAGACUCACAGGGCCCUGAAGGCCUAGCCAUGAGCUCCCGGCUCUCUCCAGAUAUGCCCUCUCAGUGGGAAAGGAUCCCUGCCCGCCUAGUUCCUCGUGUGUUAACCAUGUUUUAUGUACUGGCUAUUUGAUAUCUGCUAUUCCUAAUCUCUCCCUAAGUCUGCUGAAUCACAGGGCCAGACUAACAACCAAAAUUAUGUGCAUCUUCCCUGCAAGCAGCUUUCACCGGUGGGAGAAAGACAUAUUACAAAAGCAUAGGCCCCAGUUCCUUUCUCUGUCUGCUUCCUGACCCUUGCCUGUAGUGGGCUUCAUGUGGUCUGGUGUGGUGUGAUGUACCAGUGGAACUCUAAGUAUUAAAAUACUAUUCAUUGGCAUUAAUCUCUCCAUGUUGUCACUCAGCCGCUUUUAUAAAAUUAAGACUUAGGCACAAUUCAUCCUAUUUAGCCAGACCACCUGUACCCCACCAGGUCCUCCACAUAACAGGUUUUGCCUCCCUGCCAGCCUGUAGAAUUAUCCAAAUGGUCAAUUAAAUCUUCUUGCAGGAACCAAGGGUCACCCUGCUACCCUCCUGUCACUACAAAAUCAACCUACCAUGGCCCCUGUUGGUUCAAUCUAUUCUCAAGUGCAAGUCCCCUGGGCUGUGAAUAUGUGACUAAUAAACUGCUACCAACCUCUUCUGCAUAGGCUGACUGUAGGGUUUGUGUGUUCAGCCACCUCCUGCCAGUUCAAGUGAUGUCUUAGUCCAUUUUUGCUGCUAUAACAAAAUACCACAGUUAUAAAGAACAGAAAUUUCUCACAGUUCUGAAGGAUGGGAAGUCUAAGAUCAAGGCUCCAGCAGGUUGUGGGUCUGGUAAGGGCCUUUUUGCUGUGUUCUCACGUGGCAGAAGGGUAGGGGAAAAGGGGGAUGGAGGAAUGCUGUGUCUUCAUAGUCUUCAUAUGGCAGAAGAACAAGGGAGGUGAACUCUCUCUCUGAAGCCUCUUUUAUAAGAGCAUUAACUCCUUCAUGCCCUCAUGACUUAAUCACUUCCCAAAGGCCUCACCUCUUAAUAACACCACAAUGGGGAUUAAGUUUCAAUGUUUGGGGGACACUCAGACAGCAGCAGGUGGGGGAAUCCCUCCUUCACCAAUGGGGUGAAUAGGUGACCAGAACCCCCGAAUUACUAAUAAAGAACACAGAAGUUCAAGCUCAUAGAAGUAGUGUAGGGCCUGGGUCUUAUGAUUCUGAUGUGACCACAGUUCAAGAACCACUGCAUUAUUCUACACUGCCUCUUAAAGAGUUGACGGAACUGUCCAAGGGCACCCAGGAAACCAGGGGCAUGGCUCUGCCUGGCACUCAGGCCUACUGAUUAUCAGCUCCCUGCUCCUCUCCAGUAUAAGAUGCCCCUAGAGCUCUCUAUAAGAGGAAAGGGCUGCAGAAUGACUGGUAAUGCCUCUGGAGGCAAAUUCUCAGAAUGAAAGGGGAGGCUUCCCUUAGAUCAGUGCUGUCCAACAGAAAUAUAAUGCAGGCAAGCUAUUCGUGUAAUUUAAAUUUUUCUCAUAGCUACACUGAAAAAGGUAAGAUGAAGCAAGUGAACUUAAUUUCAACAAUAUAUUUUCUUUAACCCAACAUAUCCAAAGUAUUAUCCCCUCAACUUGUAAUCAGUAUAAGAAUUAUUGAGGGAUUUUACUUUCUUUUUUUCAUACUAGAUCUUUGAAAUCUGUUGUGCCUUACCAUUAUAACAUAUCUCAAUUCAGACUAGUUACGUUUCAGGUGCUCAAUAAUCACAUGCGGCUAAUGGCUACACUAUUGGAUAGUGCAGGUUUAGACCUUUUUAUUAAGGCAAUAUAGACUAUAUAAUCAUCUCACAGGGACUUGCUAAGUUCAAAAGACAGCAAAUUAGUUGUAGGUUUCAACAAUCACUAUCAUAGAAACUAUGCACAUUUGUUUAAAUAUGUAACAGAAUUAAAGUAUCCAUAGAAAAAGUGGAAAGUGGGGAAGAAAAGAAUACUUAAAAAUAUACCUUUGAGGCUGGGCACGGUGGCUCACGCAUGUAAUCCCAGCACUUUGGGAGGCCCAGGCGGGUGGAUCACGAGGUCAGGAAUUCAAGACCAGCCUAGCCAAGAUGGUGAAACCCCGUCUCUAUUAAAAAUACAAAAAAAUUAGCUGGGUGUGGUGGCGGGUGCCUGUAAUCCCAGCUACUCGGGAGGCUGAGGCAGAGAAUUGCUUGACCCUGGGAGGCAGAGGUUGCAGUGAGCUGAGAUCGUACCAUUGCAUUCCAGCCUGGGCAACAGAGUAAGACUCUGUCUCAAAAAAAAAAAAUGUAUACAUAUAUAUAUAUACCUUUGCUCCUUCAAUAACUUGUUGCAUUUUUCAACUUAUCUGUAGAAGAUGAAGGCCAGCUUUAGUCUAUAAUACACAGAGGACUUACUACAUGCGAGGCACUAUUUCAAACAUGUUACCUAUCUCUUUUAGUCUUCACAGAAACUUUACGAGGUAGUUAUUAAUAUCAUCCCUACUUAACGGGUAAGAAAACUGAGGCACAGAAAGGUCAAGUAACUUGCCCAAGGUUAUUCAGUCACUGAGUGUUCCAACCUAGCUGCUGAGGUUUGAUUCUGGCUCUGCCCCGCUGAUUGUGCCACCAGUUCAUCUGUACAGUUAACUUGUGUGUGUUUGUUUUUUCAUCUUUAAAAUCAGAAUAAAAUAGAACUGUCAUAAAGAACAAAUAAGCUAGUGCAUGGAAAGCACUAGAAAUUCUCCAAGUCAUAAGAAACACCCAACAAAUGUCAGCAGUCCUCAUCAGAAUCUCCAUGUGAUAAAUAUUAAACCUGGCCAGGCAUGGUGGCUCAUGCCUAUAAUCCCAGCACUUUGAGAGGCGGAGGCGGGCAGAUCACUUGAGGUCAGGAGUUCAAGACUAACCUGACCAACAUGCCAAAACCCCGUCUCUACUAAAAAUACAAAAAUUAGCUGGGCAUGGUGGUGCACGCCUGUAAUCCCAGCUACUGGGGAGGCUGAGGCAGGAGAAUUGCUGAAACCCAGGAGGCGGAGGUUGCAGUGAGCCAAGAUCGCGCCACUGCACUCCAGCCUGGGUGACAGAGCAAGACUUUGUCUCAAAAAACAAACAAACCAAAAAACCCAAAAAACUGAACCUUAAUAGUGGUCUGAUUUGUCUUUAAGGGAGUUUGUUUUAGAUCUUGACAAUAUUAUCCACAAUUGUUCAUCAACUUUUGAAUACCCUGAAAAAGUUGAUGGAUUCUACAGCCCACCAAACGUGAGAUAACAGACAAGGACUGUGGAUAAUCCUUCUAUUUUGUUCUCUAAUUGCAAGCUGUAGCACCCAAAAUCCAGAUGCCUGUUGGAGAGCUACAUGAAUCACUUACUCACUGAAUAACUCCUCUUUGCAAACCUCUUGCUGGGUACUCUUGAGAAGAAUAUGAUAAUGUCCAUGAAACAGAGGUCCCUGAAGUCUAAUGGGAGAGAGAUAGGAAACCAAGAGUUAUAUGCCAGUGGCAAGUGCAACUCCAAAAAAGCAAAGAAAAUCAAUCAUCUUUCUUUUCCUAAUUGCAACUCUUUCUAGCUUUCUCACAUAAGUAGCAUUCUCCUAGCUGCCAGGAGUGAAAAACCUCAGAGUUACUGUUAAUAUCUAUUAUGGGCUGAAUUGUGUGUGCCUCUCUCAAAACGUUAAAGUCCUAACGCUCGGUAUCUCAGAAAUAACUGUCUUUGGAAAUAGGGCCUUUAAAGAGGUGAUGAAGUUGACUUACAGCAAGGGAGCUCACGCACACAGAGGGGAGAGGCCUUACAAGCCACCAAAACUGGUGACACCUUGAUUUUGGACUUUUAGCCUCCAGAACUGUAACAAAUACAUUUCUGUAUAAUCCAGCCAAUUUGUAGUAUUUUCUUAUGGCAGCCCUGGCAAAUGAAUAUAAUUGCCCCUCCCUUGGCCUUCAUAUAUAAACGAUUAGUGAGGCCUAGCAUGGUGGCUCACACCUGGAAUCCCAAUACUUUGGGAGGCUGAGGUGGGCGGAUCACUUGAGGUCGAGUUUGAGACCAGCCUGGCCAACAUGGAGAAACCCAGUCUUUACUAUAAACACAAAAAUUAGCAGGGCGUGGUGACGGGCACCUGUAAAGCCAGAGGCAGGAGAAUUGCUUGAACCCAGGAGGCAGAGGUUGCAGUGAGCUGAGAUCGUACCACUGCACUCCAGCCUGGGCAACAGAGCAAGAUUCCAUCUCAAAAAAAACAAAAAACAAAAAACACAAUUAAUGAUAAUUAUUAGUUUUUAAGCCUUACUGACUCAUCAUCUGGGUUUGUUUUAAAAUACUCAAGGGAAAAAAAGUUGGUGGGAGAGGCAAUAAGAUUAGCAAGAAUGGAAGCAGGGUGACUGUACAUAAGAGUUCAUUAUAUUUGGGUAUGUUUGGAUAUUUCCAUAGUAAAAAAUAAGGGAAUAACAACCCACUAUGAAUAGUGUGAUAACAAUUUCAUAAAACACAGACAAAAACACAUUAAAAACUGCUAAACAGAAAUGCAUUAAAAUGUUAAUAAUUAUCUAUAUCCUAGUAUUAAGGAAAUUUGUAAUAUUUUAUAUUUCUGUAUUUUCUACAUCCUGUACAGAGAACGUGCAUCUCUAUGAUCAAAAUAUGAACUACUAAUAUUGCUUAAAAUUAAAUGAGAAUUCUUUCAAAAUUUUCUAAAGUCUAAACUCAACCUUGCUUUCAAAAUCUUCUACAGUAAAAUUCCAACCUCCCUCCCCAACUUGAUCUCAAAUGGCUCCUCUGCAGCCAGUUUCCUAUGAUUAUUUAUAUGGAUCAUUUAUCUAUUUUAUUUCCUAAUUCUAAAUUGGGAUUUCAAACUGUGAGACCAAGGGUAUUCAGAUGUAAGGAACCCAAGUCUAGGACACAAAUCCCACUGUUCUUACUAGCACUGUGAUAUAGGAAAGUAAAUUAGGCUCUCUCCAUUUCCUCAUCUGUAUAAUUGGUGUAAUAACAGUACCCAUAUCACAAUACCCACAUCACCUUUGUAAGGUGAACAGAACCCACAACACAAGGCCUUUGUGAAGGUUCAGUGUGUUAGUUUUUAUAAAGCCCUCAGAGUGAUACUCAGCACCCAAUGUUUAACUAGUGUGACUAAUAUUCAUGUCACAUUUUCUCCAAUUAUACAAUAACGGAACACUUCUGUAGCAGAAACAUUUGCAAGGAAUGAAAUACCUUCUCGCACUCGGAACAGAAGAGGAAGGUGAAUGCUAGGUCCUGUCACAGUGGGGCUCUGCUGCCAGAAGCCAGGAUGCUCUCCUUCCUCCUCUCCCGCAGCAUUCUUUCAGAAGUCAGGGCAGGGGAAGGAAAGGAGGCUGGGAGAUUGCACGAUCUUGUCUGAGAUCCUGGAAAAUCCACAGAGGAUAACUCCAGACGCCACCUGUUGAGUGAUGCACUCUUUCUUAAAAAACGGGUCAGGCAUAGUCCAAGAACAGCCUCCUUUCCUGCAGGAAUCAGAAAGAAGAGCCAGGCGCUUGCUGAAAAAUGAAUAUUUUUUAUUAUGAUAGUUUUAAUAUUAACGGCCGACAUGUUGCCACAUUCCUGUACUAUUCCAUACACAUUUUACUUGUACUAUAUUACUAAUUGUCAAAACAAAUAUAUAAGGUUAAUAUUUCCUUUUGCAGAAGAGGAAACUAAGACCAGAAACUAAGCACCGAAAGAUUAAGUUCUCACCCAACGUUACACCGCUAGGAAGCUACAGAGCUGUGGGAGGUGGGGGAAGGCGGGUCGGGCCGCUGAGAGCCCAGGAGAUCCUCAGACGCCUCCCCAUUCAGGUCCACUUCCAACCAGGGGACUCCCGAACCGCCCCGAACGCAGCAGCUCCGGAUACAGUAAGGCAAUCAGCUGCCCAGCCAUUCAACUCCGCCCUCCGCUGCUCGCCGCAGCGUCUUUUCCUGCUGACCGAAGUGCGAGCCCUGCUGAUCCUACGACCAAACCAUAAAAGUUAAAACAGGUCGCGGGGUCCCAGGACUCACUCACUUCCACGAGAGGAAUGAAGGCCGCGCUCUCAACCUCUUGCCGCGGAAGUGCCCGGGAGAGCAGGGAGCUCUGGAACUACAUUUCCCAGCAUCCCCGGGAGGAACGGAAGCCGCUGCCCCGCCCCCUGGGCGGAAGUGCGGGCUUCGACUCCCACGGCCGAAUCUUAUUUCUCAGAAUCCCCAAGGGGAGCGGGCUUCGUGUUCUCGUCCUCAAAUAGUCGAAGUACCACCGAACCCACUGAGCACUGGGGUAUAGGUUCCUAUUUCCCCAGGGGAGCAAAUAACAAAGCCGCGCUUUCCCAGAGCUGAAGUGCCCCCAAAAGUCUGGACCACACGUCCCAGAAUCCUCUGUAGGGCUGAGCUUCCCGCCAGCCUGCAAUUUUCCUUUUGAAUUAGCGGGGGGAGUCUAAGUCAUUGCUUGUAGAGCUCAGCCUGCUUUUUCCUUUUGCCAUUGUUCCCUUUUAUACGUGACAGAAGUUGCGAAUAUGAAAAAAAAAAAGGAAAAUACAAAGGAAUGCUAUGUGUGAGCUAAAAACAGAGGUAAUAAAAGAGGUGGCCAGAGCCGCCCAGAGCAACAAGCCUUUUA